rnacentral:rRNA from 1 species
CAGUCGCCGCGGGAAUACAGAGGGUGCAAGCGUUAAUCGGAAUUACUGGGCGUAAAGCGCGCGUAGGUGGUUUGUUAAGUUGGAUGUGAAAGCCCCGGGCUCAACCUGGGAACUGCAUCCAAAACUGGCAAGCUAGAGUACGGUAGAGGGUGGUGGAAUUUCCUGUGUAGCGGUGAAAUGCGUAGAUAUAGGAAGGAACACCAGUGGCGAAGGCGACCACCUGGACUGAUACUGACACUGAGGUGCGAAAGCGUGGGGAGCAAACAGGAUUAGAUACCCGAGUAGUCCCUGUCUCUUAUAA